UUUGUGCUCGCUCUCAAGUCUCUGCUAGCAUCUCUUACCAUAGCUUGCAUCUAGCUAACCAGUCAGCCAGUCAGCUAAACAGUCAUGUGUCCUCCACGUCACUCAUUCAUCUUUCCUGGAUGCCACAGUGUGCAGGGUAACGGCGCCCUUAGCUUAUUUAAGUUUCGUAUGGACUACAACAUAAGGAAACGGUUGAUCGAUUUUGUGAAGCGGAGCUAGUGUGGAGAGUUCAAAAUCACCACCAACACCUGUCUCUGCAGUGUCCACUUUACCCCUGAUAGUUACAGCAACUGUCACCAGGUAAAGUCUGGAUUCCUGAAGAGUCCGUUGACGCUGGUCAGUGGGGCUGACCCGACCCUCUCCACCCGUGGCUUGCAUCCUCUUGUCCCCCGACAGCAGGUGCCACCAUCACGGCCACCGGCAUUAUGUGCCCGCCUGCGACCCUCUCCGUCCCGCCGCAGCGGGUGCUCUCAUCUCCGCCACCAGCAUUAUGUGCUUGCCAGAGAGUAUGUUAGUUGCUUUUAUACAGAGAAAGACGGGAGCAGCUAGCUCAGACAGAGUCAAUAUGCACUCGUCAUCGGUGACUGAGGAGACCAGCAAAACGCUACUGUCAAGUACUCACUGUUCGCUCUUUCUUUCUCCCCCCUUUUCUUUCUCAACAUCCACUGUUAUUGUUCACGUGCAAAAGACUUAUUUUCAAGCUAGACUGUUACACUGUUCUAGAUGCUAUUUCAAUUCAAUGUCUGAGGUUAUGCUCAUGAGUCCAGUAAAGCCUAUCACUAAUGACUGUAUUGGAGACAGUUUCUUCCAAAUAUGGAAAUGCAAUACCUUCUC